UACGAAGGUGGCGAGCGUUGUUCGGAAUUACUGGGCGUAAAGGGCGCGUAGGCGGCCUUCCAAGUCAGGUGUGAAAGCCCCGGGCUCAACCCGGGAACAGCACUUGAGACUGAAAGGCUCGAGUUCGGGAGAGGUGAGCGGAAUUCCCAGUGUAGAGGUGAAAUUCGUAGAGAUUGGGAAGAACACAAGCGGCGAAGGCGGCUCACUGGACCGAUACUGACGCUGAGGCGCGAAAGCGUGGGGAGCAAACAGG
rnacentral:rRNA from 1 species